UUCUAAAACGCAUGCCCCAGCAAAAAGAUACAAUUUUAGAAUGUCUUUCUCCCCCCAUCGGAUUUUGAACUGUAUCAAUCUCGCUUUAAAAAACAAAACAAAACGUGUUUUGAGUGCAUUUCAGUCAUGGGAUGGAGUUGCUCUUUUAAUAGUCUCAGGCUAUUUCCGUGGGGGGGACUGUGAUUAGCAGUUUACACAACAGCUGUUUGGAGGAAGGGGUAGAUGGAAAUUAUCUACAAAAGGAACCCUGCCUUUUUAAAAUUGGCACGGUUACUUUAACAGCGCCCUUGAAUGUUGAAAUUAUGUCUCAAGGCUACAAAGGUGGCCAUAAGGCUCCUGUAGUUAGAAAGUAGUUCAGACAACACACGAGAUAUUGAAGCCUGCAAGUACUGUAAAUAUAUCGUGCACUGUGUUGUUCAAAGGAUGCAGAAUAUGAAACAGAUGGCUCAGGAAGCCCGGGAGAAAGACCUGCUGGGCCCUUUCUGGUGUCACCUUAAAGCCAGAGAGGAUGGUGUGAAUAGUUCCAGUGACCUCAAAUUGUGGCAAACCGGCUGGAGCUGCAGACAAACGUCCACUAACGACUGGGAUGACAAAGUAGUUCACUGGAGGCUUCAAGUGUACAUUCCAGAAGUUUGGAGUUUAGGGCGAUGCCCAAGCUGAGACACCAUAAAGAGGCCUGAUUUUCAGAGGAUGGGUCAUCAGCUGUCUCAAGUUGGACACCCAAAUCACUGGUCAAUUGUGAAAAUGUAGGAUUAAGUGACUGAAAAAAAAUCACCGUUUUAAAUUCAGCUGUGGAGAAAUGGCAUAAUGGCAAAAUCACAGAAGUUACUUGAACUCUAGCUUUUUUCUUAAGAAUACUAGCAAAUCUUCUGUUUCUUCCUUGAUUUAUUUCUUCAGACGGGUGUUCUACUUUUAUAGAAUAUAAAAUUUUGAAAAAAAUGUAUUUUAAAAUAUUGACUUGGCUGGUGCAGAAGUUAUUUCUUUCUAUACAGUAUCAGAUGCACAAUUGCCCAAAUGUCCAAUAGCAGGAAACGUGGUGCCAAAAUAGGACAUCAGCUGCACCAACGUAGGCCAAUAAACUUGUAAUAACCUAAACACUUUCUUAGCAUCAGCAUGGGUGAUAUUAGCAUAAUCUUUAUUCCAAACAUGCAACAUUCAAGAACUACAGUAGGCUGACCACAAAAUUAUAGAUGGACUCUCUCAGUAUUCUGAGAAUCAAGUUGGGGAACCUUUUAGAUAGAUAGCUAAAUCUGAAAGAUAAUAUAUGAGCGAGAUCCUGCCUAUAUACUCAUCUCAAUGAGAGUUAAGUAGCUCAGAACCUUACAGGAUAAUUUCUGAUCCAUGAAACUGAGCUUGCGUAUGAAAGAGAGGCAAAAUUUCUUCUGUGCAAAGACACAGCAAGUUCCAGUAGAUAUUUUAGUGCCAGUGCAAGUCUAUUUAAUUAUUGUUUUUAACGGGCAUACACAUAAAUUGUUAAAUCAUCUGCAGGUAAAGAAUUUUCACAUGAAAAUGUUAAAUUCUUGUCUGCGAAGAAAACCAGAGAACUCCUUCCCUAUCUGAUCCUUACAACUAAAAUCCUAGAGAUCAAUAUAAGUGAGGGACAAACAUCACCACCACUGGGAAUUGGCUUUUGGAGAACAAGAUUUGAUCCACAUAACUGAUCACUGCAAGUAAUAAUCACUAUAGCUUAAUUCCACAGUAUUUGGAAUAGAGGGCCUCUUAUGUAUAAAUGUAAGAGUGGAAAGAAAAAAAAUGCAGUGAAAUCCAAAAAGGAAAACUGAUAAAAGGUGGAGGAUAGGCAGGGAGAAGGAAGAAAGGGUAUUUAUUGACAGAAUGCUACAUAAAUGUAUUUAAAUUCAGUGUUCCCUUUCAGUAAUGGGUAUCUGGUUCCACCCAUCAAACUAAGCUUAUGUUACAGAAAAAGACUGAGGUCACAUAACUGCAGUAGAAGCAAGUGAAACUGGAAUUCACCUCAAACUUUCACACAUCCACAUCAAUACAUAAUUAUAUGCAGAUCUUGAUCGUGAAUCUUAAUUUCAAACUGGGUGCAUAUCAUCAUCUUAAUUGAAUAAAAACAAAAAAAUUCAAGCAGAUACCUAAAAUGAUUUGAAAUAUGUUCAAACAAGUGGUCU